ACGAGGGGGGCAAAUGUUGUUCGGAAUCACUGGGCGUAAAGGGAGCGUAGGCGGGUUCUUAAGUUAGGUGUUUAAUCCCGGGGCCCAACCCCGGACCGGCACUUAAAACUGGGAAUCUUGAAUAGUGGAGAGGUCGGUGGAAUUGGGGGUGUAGCGGUGGAAUGCGUAGAGAUCCCCAAGAACACCAGUUGCGAAGGCGGCCGACUGGACACAUAUUGACGCUGAGGCUCGAAAGCAUGGGGAGCAAACAGGA
rnacentral:rRNA from 1 species